AGGGAAGAAGCGAAAGUGACGGUACCUACAAAAGAAGCACCGGCUAACUAUGUGCCAGCAGCCGCGGUAAUACAUAGGGUGCAAGCGUUGUCCGGAAUUAUUGGGCGUAAAGAGCUCGUAGGUCGUUUGUUACGUCGGAUGUGAAAACCUGAGGCUCAACCUCAGGCCUGCAUUCGAUACGGGCAAACUAGAGUUUGGUAGGGGAGACUGGAAUUCCUGGUGUAGCGGUGGAAUGCGCAGAUAUCAAGAGGAACACCAAUGGCGAAGGCAGGUCUCUGGGCCAAUACUGACACUGAGGAGCG
rnacentral:rRNA from 1 species